AUGGAGAGCUCGACCUCGAGGACGAGCCUGAAUUGCAUCAGCCUGGUGGACCCCGACAUCCAGAGAUCGGUCGCGCUCCUCAAGCAGGCAUGCUUGGAUUCAGGCUUCUUCUAUGUGCUGGAUCAUGGGAUAAGCCAGGAAUUCAUGGACGAGGUUUUUGCCGAAAGCAAGAAGUUCUUUGAACUUCCGAACAGUGAGAAAAUGAAGCUUCUCCGAAAUGAGAAGAAUCGAGGGUAUACACCUAUGCUAGAUGAGAUUCUUGAUCCAGAAAACCAAGUGAAUGGUGACCACAAGGAAGGGUAUUAUAUUGGUGUUGAGGUACCUGCAGAUGACCCACAGUCAAAUAGGCCAUUUUAUGGUCCAAACCAGUGGCCUUCCGAAGAAAUAUUGCCCAAAUGGAGGGAGGUGAUGGAGCAAUAUCACAGGGAAGCAUUGAGAGUGGCCAAAUCAGUUGCAAGGAUCAUUGCUCUUGCUUUGAACCUAGACGAGGACUUCUUUGAUAGACCUGAAAUGCUUGGCGAUUCGAUAGCCACAUUAAGGCUCUUGCACUAUGAAGGUCAAGUGUCAAAUCCUUCUAAGGGAGUUUAUGGAGCUGGUGCACAUUCGGAUUAUGGCCUGAUCACUCUCUUAGCAACUGAUGACGUAGUUGGUCUCCAAAUUUGCAAGGACAGGAAUGCUCAGCCUCAAGUAUGGGAAUAUGUAGCUCCUGUGAAAGGCGGCUUUAUUGUCAAUCUUGGUGAUAUGCUCGAACGCUGGAGUAACUCCAUUUUCAGGUCAACUUUACAUCGAGUGGUCCUUGAUGGGCAGGAGCGUUACUCCAUUGCCUUUUUCGUGGAACCAAGCCAUGACUGUGUAGUCGAGUGCCUGCCAACCUGCAAAUCCGAGACGAAUCCGCCAAAGUUCCCCCCAAUCACUUGCUCGGCGUACCUAUCCCAGCGCUACAAGGACACGCACGCAGAUCUGAGCACUUACAGCGACGGCAAAGCCUGA
rnacentral:rRNA from 1 species